GACGAACGCUGGCGGCGUGCUUAACACAUGCAAGUCGAACGGAAAGGCCCUGCUUUUGUGGGGUGCUCGAGUGGCGAACGGGUGAGUAACACGUGAGUAACCUGCCCUUGACUUUGGGAUAACUUCAGGAAACUGGGGCUAAUACCGGAUAGGAGCUCCUGCUGCAUGGUGGGGGUUGGAAAGUUUCGGCGGUUGGGGAUGGACUCGCGGCUUAUCAGCUUGUUGGUGGGGUAGUGGCUUACCAAGGCUUUGACGGGUAGCCGGCCUGAGAGGGUGACCGGCCACAUUGGGACUGAGAUACGGCCCAGACUCCUACGGGAGGCAGCAGUGGGGAAUAUUGCACAAUGGGCGGAAGCCUGAUGCAGCAACGCCGCGUGCGGGAUGACGGCCUUCGGGGUGUAAACCGCUUUCGCCUGUGACGAAGCGUGAGUGACGGUAAGGGGUAAAGAAGCACCGGCUAACUACG
rnacentral:rRNA from 1 species